rnacentral:lncRNA from 1 species
UUAAUUGUUCAUAAUGUCAAUCGACUUUUUUACGCGAAAGCAAACAUUGGUGAUGUCAGCCCGGUUACUCAGUUGAUCACACUUCUGAAUGGCCACUAGCUCUACUCAUAAGACACAUUUUAUUUUUGGAACUACAUCGGUCCACUAAGGAGUAAAACCUUCCUACCAAAUGCAGCUGCGUUCACAGGGCUCAAAAUGAGACCUCUAGUUAGGCAGUAUAGUGUCGAACUGCUAAGCUAUGCCCUAUAGUGGUGUAAAAUUGAGUGAUUAGCAGAGUAUUUUUUUUUUUUACUAGCUUUACUCAUCAUCAACAUUUUAUUCUUUGAGCCAAAUCGGUCCACUAAGGAGUAAGCUCUCCCUACCAAAGGCAGCUGC